rnacentral:rRNA from 1 species
GACGAACGCUGGCGGCGUGCUUAACACAUGCAAGUCGAACGGAAAGGCCCUGCUUGCAGGGUGCUCGAGUGGCGAACGGGUGAGUAACACGUGGGUGAUCUGCCCCUUACUUUGGGAUAAGCCUGGGAAACUGGGUCUAAUACUGGAUAGGACCAUGCUGUAGGUGGUGUGGUGGAAAGAUUUUUUCGGUAAGGGAUGAGCUCGCGGCCUAUCAGCUUGUUGGUGGGGUAAUGGCCUACCAAGGCGUCGACGGGUAGCCGGCCUGAGAGGGUGGACGGCCACAUUGGGACUGAGAUACGGCCCAUACUCCUACGGGAGGCAGCAGUGGGGAAUAUUGCACAAUGGGCGCAAGCCUGAUGCAGCGACGCCGCGUGGGGGAUGACGGCCUUCGGGUUGUAAACUCCUUUCAGCUAUGACGAAUCCCUGUGGGGUGACGGUAGUGGUAGAAGAAGCACCGGCUAACUACGUGCCAGCAGCCGCGGUAAUACGUAGGGUGCGAGCGUUGUCCGGAUUACUGGGCGUAAGAGCUCGUAGGUGGUCUGUCGCGUCAUUUGUGAAAGCCCGGGGCUUACUGCGGGUUGGCAGGUGAUACGGGCAUGACUGGAGUACUGUAGGGGAGACUGGAAUUCCUGGUGUAGCGGUGAAAUGCGCAGAUAUCAGGAGGAACACCGGUGGCGAAGGCGGGUCUCUGGGCAGUAACUGACGCUGAGGAGCGAAAGCAUGGGUAGCGAACAGGAUUAGAUACCCUGGUAGUCCAUGCCGUAAACGGUGGGCGCUAGGUGUGGGUUUCCUCCCACGGGAUCCGUGCCGUAGCUAACGCAUUAAGCGCCCCGCCUGGGGAGUACGGCCGCAAGGCUAAAACUCAAAGGAAUUGACGGGGGCCCGCACAAGCGGCGGAGCAUGUGGAUUAAUUCGAUGCAACGCGAAGAACCUUACCUGGGCUUGACAUGCACUGGAUGCGGCCAGAGAUGGUUGUUCCCUUUGCGGCUGGUGUGCAGGUGGUGCAUGGUUGUCGUCAGCUCGUGUCGUGAGAUGUUGGGUUAAGUCCCGCAACGAGCGCAACCCUUGUCUCGUGUUGCCAGCAUUUGGUUGGGGACUCGCGGGAGACUGCCGGGGUUAACUCGGAGGAAGGUGGGGAUGACGUCAAAUCAUCAUGCCCCUUAUGUCCAGGGCUUCACACAUGCUACAAUGGCUGGUACAGAGAGUUGCGAUACCGUGAGGUGGGGCUAAUCUCGUAAAGCCAGUCUCAGUUCGGAUUGGAGUCUGCAACUCGACUCCAUGAAGUCGGAGUCGCUAGUAAUCGCAGAUCAGCAAUGCUGCGGUGAAUACGUUCCCGGGCCU